GAUCUCUUGUAUGAAUAUAGUUUUAGUGUGGGCAACGAUCCGAGGAAACUCCUUUAUUCUUCUUACAUGAGUCCAAGCCUCCAGCAGGCCAUAUUCUGGGCAGUGGGCUGGUGAAAGCUCUGGUAUCUCUCCUGUCUGGUGUUUGAGCUCUCUUCCAGACCAGGACACCAACUCAUAAACAAAGUGCUUUACACCAUCACUGAUUUAGUGCUGGAGUGUAUGCUGUGUGUGAACACCACAUUCAUGGAAGUGUUAGCCUGGAAGGAUGACCGGUCUCAUUUUGUGGUGAAAACAUUUGGCCUCGCUGCGUUCCACCUGACUGAUUUUCUGGAGAUGCAAUUUCAACAAUGGAGCAGCAACACAGUGUACAGGCAGAGCCCACACCGAUGGUCCAGACAUGUGCAGUUGCAACCACCUGGCAUCAUUUGCAGUAUCACAUGAGAACAUCAUAAGCAGCUACAAAUCUGCAGAUGUUUCACAGUUUAUCCAGUACACCUGCAGUGUCUUUCUCCACAUUUAUCAGAUCUGUAUAUGGCUGUUUUUCAACUUACUUCCUGUCUUGCAGCUCAAAAACCAACUACAUACUGAUCAUUUUGGCUCUCUAUGUGGUGGUGCUGGUCAUCUGUAGGAAGGCUGAGGUUUCAUUACAGAAAACUACAGGCUCGUUCCUGCUACCAGAAAACAGUCCCUCAGACCGGUUCCUCACCAUAGAUACAGGAAUGAGAUCUAGAACCAGAAUGACAGCAAAGGUAUUAAUCAUUGUCAUUAGUAAUGAGAAUGAAAGUGAAAUCCUUAUCAGAGCCAUUGCUGCAUAAAUUGCAUGAUUUUCUGAAUAAUGUUGUCAGGUCCAUAUUGUUCUGUAUGGAGAUAAUGUUGUCUCUCAAACCAGGGAACUCAGCAGCUCUGACUCCAAACUCUUUACAUGCAACUCAAGGAAUACCUUUAUUCUCAGUUCCUAUAUUUGAAACUCACCGAGUACCUGGAGGACUUUCCACCAGGUCUGUGUACAGUCAUCCGUCUUUCAGCACACGCACACACACUUACACCCACUCACACACACACACACACACACACACAGAGCUGGAGUGUGUGGCUGCUGCUUCUGCAGGGCUACAUGUGGGUCAGCACAGUGCUUGUAAAUCUUUUGGAAAAACAGGUGUUCAACACAGAAAUCAAUACAUGUCAACAAAUACUGUCAAUGUGAUUUUGCUUGUCAUUUUCACAAUUUUGAGACAUGUCUUUUUUGUUUUCUACUGUACACCAAUGGGCAGUGUUUUGUAGAGAUGGGGCUUAUUGAUGUUUCACCGGUUUCCAUGGUAACAGGCCUGUGCAGUAUUCUUGCUGUGCUGCCAGUAGGGGGGUCUGGUGUCCCUGGUGUUUAGUGUCAGGAAGGUCAGAGUUCCUGAGGAGCUGCUGCAGGGGGAAAAGCCAGCUGUUUUGCCCCUCAGUUUCUUCUUGCUACAUAGUUAAAUGUUAGAUCAACUGCAUGCAUUCAUUUAGACAAUUGGUAUUUAUGUAGGAUGUAUUUACAGUAGUUAGUGUCCCUAUAUGUUACUGUUAUUUUAUCUGUUUUAGAGCACAUGCGCUAGUGUGUCUGGAGAGCAGUAUAAGGUCAAGGUGCCUGAUGUCUACUCUGUAGGAGGCAUGUUUUUAUGCAUUUUCCUCUUUUGUUAUCAUCUGUCAGUUUAUUCAUUAUUCAAAAUAGUUUUAUGCAAAACACUUUCUGUUGGUUUGUCUGUUUUAUAGAACACCACGAUGCAGUUCUGAUGAACACUUGUGCAUCGUACCUGUCCUGCAAUAGUUUCCCACUGGACUCAAGGAUCAUGGGAAAAAAAAUUACAAUGUAUAAUGUACAGAUCAGUUAAAUUGCUUACUUUAUAUGCUCAGUUAAAUAUGCUUGACAAUGAAAUUAUUUUAGUCUACAGUACUAAAGACAGUGCAAAUGGUAUGUCCCGCAGUAUGGAGAUCAGGAUUGGAAAACCUCAGAUUCAGUGUCUAUGUCAAAACUGAAAGAGGAUCCUGAUGCCAUCUUAGAGAUUGUAGAAGACUCCAUCUCUGAUGUCAACAAGCAGAUCACAUGACAAAAGCAAAUGGAAUAAGAUCUCAAAUCACACACCUCUGCACGUUUGUAAACCCAUUAGUUAAAUAUUAUAUUACAAUUAUAUAGUAAAAAUUCUAUGUGGUUAUGUAUGUAUAUUUUUAAAGUGAUUAUAAUUAUUAAAAAUAUAUUUUUAUUUUAAUAUAGUUAUAGCAAUAUAUUUUUUAAAUUAAAUUUUUG
ensembl:lncRNA